UACGAAGGGUGCAAGCGUUACUCGGAAUUACUGGGCGUAAAGCGUGCGUAGGUGGUUUGUUAAGUCUGUUGUGAAAGCCCCGGGCUCAACCUGGGAAUGGCAGUGGAUACUGGCAAGCUAGAGUGCGGUAGAGGGUAGUGGAAUUCCCGGUGUAGCGGUGAAAUUCGUAGAUAUUGGGAAGAACACCGGUGGCGAAGGCGGCUCUCUGGACCGAGACUGACGCUGAGGCGCGAAAGCGUGGGGAGCAAACAGG
rnacentral:rRNA from 1 species